UACGGAGGGUGCAAGCGUUGUCCGGAAUCACUGGGCGUAAAGGGCGCGUAGGCGGUACUUCAAGUCAGGCGUGAAAGCCCCGGGCUCAACCUGGGAACCGCGCUUGAGACUGGAGAACUAGAGUUCGGGAGAGGAUGGUGGAAUUCCCAGUGUAGAGGUGAAAUUCGUAGAUAUUGGGAAGAACACCGAUGGCGAAGGCAGCCAUCUGGACCGACACUGACGCUGAGGCGCGAAAGCGUGGGGAGCAAACAGG
rnacentral:rRNA from 1 species